GACGAACGCUGGCGGCGUGCCUAAUACAUGCAAGUCGAACGAGAGCGACCGGUGCUUGCACUGGUCAAUCUAGUGGCGAACGGGUGAGUAACACGUGGGUAACCUGCCCAUCAGAGGGGGAUAACAUCCGGAAACGGAUGCUAAAACCGCAUAGGUCUUCGAGCCGCAUGGCUUGAAGAGGAAAAGAGGCGCAAGCUUCUGCUGAUGGAUGGACCCGCGGUGCAUUAGCUAGUUGGUGAGGUAACGGCUCACCAAGGCCGUGAUGCAUAGCCGACCUGAGAGGGUGAUCGGCCACAUUGGGACUGAGACACGGCCCAGACUCCUACGGGAGGCAGCAGUAGGGAAUCUUCCGCAAUGGACGCAAGUCUGACGGAGCAACGCCGCGUGAGUGAAGAAGGUUUUCGGAUCGUAAAACUCUGUUGUUAGAGAAGAACAAGUGCUAGAGUAACUGUUAGCGCCUUGACGGUAGCUAACCAGAAAGCCACGGCUAACUACGUG
rnacentral:rRNA from 1 species